rnacentral:rRNA from 1 species
UGGCGGACGGGUGGAGUAACGCGUGGGUAACCUGCCUCAUACAGGGGGAGUAACAGCUGGAAACGGCUGCUAAUACCGCAUAAGCGCACAGUACCGCAUGGUACGGUGCGAAAAACUCCGGUGGUAUAAGAUGGACCCGCGUCUGAUUAGCUUGUUGGUGAGGUAACGGCCCACCAAGGCGACGAUCAGUAGCCGACCUGAGAGGGUGACCGGCCACAUUGGGACUGAGACACGGCCCAGACUCCUACGGGAGGCAGCAUG